ACAACUUUCAACAACGGAUCUCUUGGCUCUCGCAUCGAUGAAGAACGCAGCGAAAUGCGAAUAAGUAAUGUGAAUUGCAGAAUUCAGUGAAUCAUCGAUCUUGACGCACUUGGCCUCCUUGGUAUUCCGAGGAGCAUGCCUGUUUGAGUGUCAUUAA
rnacentral:rRNA from 1 species